rnacentral:lncRNA from 1 species
AUCAGCCAUAGCUUUGGGCCCAGCUAGAUAGAAAGCUCAACAAACAAGUUGAAAAAAGAUUUUAAAAUCUUCUACAUUCAAAUGAAAACCCAAAAUAAUUUUUUUUGGAAUGUUGAGGAGGACUUCAAACCGGCUCUAGAGUGCUGGAUACCAGGCAAAGGAAAUAGAACAAAUAAAUAGGAACCCAGUGCCUAAUGAAAAUAGAUACAUUCCUGAUUGGGUACCAGUAUAGAAAAACAACAAACAGUAUUGCUAGCAUUCCUCUGUAGUUAAUUAUGAAUUUGAAAUUGCCCUGGUACUAAAACAUCAUGCUGAUGAUUCUGGACUUUUGGAAAUUACUGCAGUGCCACUAUCAGAUCUCUUAGAACAAACACUGGAGAUCACAGGAAAAAAUAUCAAUGGAAACCCAUAUGCGUUAGGGAGCAAGAAACAUCCAUUACAUCUUCUUAUACCACAUGGAGCGUUUCAAAUAAGAAAUCUACCUUCGUUGAAGCACAAUGAUAUCAUGUCCUGGUUUGAAGGUUGCAGUGGGUAAAAUUGAAGGAAUAGUAUGGCAUCGCAGUGAUGGCUGUUAAUAAAGGGUCCAUCGUCAUCAUCUUGGCUUAUGCUGGUCAAUUCAAGAUACUUACAUGAAUUCAAGAGCAGUUAUUAUCAACGUGUACCUGAAAAAAUGUGACUCUGCCUUGAUGUUAAGUGUUUGUUUAAUCAUUUUUCAAAAGUACAUAAUCAGAAAUUUGCUAGACUCAAAGAUAUAAUAUUUGAUAUAUAAAAUGCAAAUAAAAUU